AGUGUGAAUUUAUCUUUUUUAUUGGUCUUUUAUUGCUGGAGUUAUUAGGAACAUUCAGAAACAGGAAAAAGGAGAAAAUGUUGGAACCAUCCAAAACAAAGUAAAGAAAUAAAACAGUGACUAUAAGAAAACAUCUGAACUGGGAAACAAGACAUAAAAAUAUCUUUUUGCUGCCAUCCCCUACAACUGAGUCAAAAAUAUUUUAGACAGAAAUUGUCUUAUCUAUUAGUAGAAAAGAUACUAAAUUUGAUGGUACUAAGUAAUCCUUUGCACAUCUCUAUUUUAACCUUUGUUCUCUCCAAUCUCUACCAAGGCUAAAUAACUAACUAAACGCAUAGUGGUCUGUCCAUGCCAGUGAUUUACAAACAGCAAAAAGGCGACUGGAGCAGCACUGGAGGCUGUGUGGCAAGAGCCACGAGGUGCUGUUGGUUGCAUGUAGUUUGACGAGGUAUUUUCUUGAAUCUGUUUUCUGGAAUAAACUGGAGGAAAAGGAUGCAGUUUUAAAAUGUUUAAAAAACUGAAGCAGCUGAAAACCAGCAAAUCCAAGACUCUGGCCAAAAAUCUGGCAGUCUUGCAAGUUACUCUGCUUAGGAGAAAUCAAUGCGAUGCUGUUUCUUACAAAAUUUCUGAGCCCCAUUCCUUCGGGCAUUGGAGGGAUUAAGAAAACAAAGACAGCUUCUGUACUUCUACCAUGUCUCUUCCAGGCAGUGCAUUUCCAAACCUGCCUCUCUGGGCUUUUUCUAAGGAUCACAAUUAUUUAGGGUAGAUCUGACUUUCUGCUGAGUUCUAUGUUUUAAUCUUCCCUUGCACCUACGGUCAAGGAUCAGAGAAGUUCCUUUUCCCAGAUGAUUCAGUUUCUUCAGUGAAUUUAGAUACGUCAUAUAUUGUGGCUGGUGCAGAUACUAAGUGAAAGAUGGCUGCUUCACCAACCUCUAUAAAACACAGCUAGAUUAGUACAAAACCUAUUGGAGACAAAGAUUAAUAUUCAAGCCCAGGACAUCUGUUUCACCCUUCAAGACACUUACUGAUUUACUGAGGUCUUUAAAAUUAAUGUGGAUGCUCUGUUGUGUUUUGGAUCGUAUGGUUAACCUGAUCCAGUUUCUCCAGAGCGGUAACACAGACAUCAAUGCUCCCAGUUUGUGUACC
rnacentral:lncRNA from 1 species